UACGAAGGGGGCUAGCGUUGCUCGGAAUCACUGGGCGUAAAGGGUGCGUAGGCGGGUCUUUAAGUCAGGGGUGAAAUCCUGGAGCUCAACUCCAGAACUGCCUUUGAUACUGAGGAUCUUGAGUUCGGGAGAGGUGAGUGGAACUGCGAGUGUAGAGGUGAAAUUCGUAGAUAUUCGCAAGAACACCAGUGGCGAAGGCGGCUCACUGGCCCGAUACUGACGCUGAGGCUACGAAAGCGU
rnacentral:rRNA from 1 species